rnacentral:rRNA from 1 species
AUGCCAGACUCCUACGGGAGGCAGCAGUGGGGAAUAUUGGGCAAUGGGCGCAAGCCUUACCCAGCAAUACCGCGUGAGUGAAGAAGGUCUUCGGAUUGUAAAGCUCUUUGAUCAGGGACGAACAGAUGACGGUACCUGAAGAACAAGCCCCGGCUAACUACGUGCCAGCAGCCGCGGUAAUACGUAGGGGGCAAGCGUUAUCCGGAUUUACUGGGUGUAAAGGGAGCGUAGACGGCCAGACAAGUCUGAAGUGAAAAUCCAGCGCUUAACGUUGGAAGUGCUUUGGAAACUGCCGGGCUAGAGUGCAGGAGGGGCAGGCGGAAUUCCUAGUGUAGCGGUGAAAUGCGUAGAUAUUAGGAGGAACACCAGUGGCGAAGGCGGCCUGCUGGACUGCAACUGACGUUGAGGCUCGAAGGCGUGGGGAGCAAACAGGAUUAGAUACCCGCGUAC